GUCUACGGCCAUACCACCCUGAACGUGCCCAAUCUCGUCUGAUCUCGGAAGCUAGCAGGGUCGGGCCUGGUUAGUACUUGGACGGGAGAUAUUAUAAAGCCAAUAAAAAUUACUCAGUCUCACAAAAU
rfam:Nomascus leucogenys chromosome 4, whole genome shotgun sequence.